rnacentral:rRNA from 1 species
AUUGAACGCUGGCGGCAGGCCUAACACAUGCAAGUCGAGCGAGCGGCGGACGGGUGAGUAAUGCCUGGCAAUUGCGCAGGCGAGGGGGAUAACAGUGGGAAACGACUGAUAAUAGCGCAUACGAUUCGAUUCCCCAGGUGGGGUUAGCUAGUUGGUGAGGUAAUGGCUCACCAAGGCGACGAUCCCUAGCUGGUCUGAGAGGAUGAUCAGCCACACUGGAACUGAGACACGGUCCAGACUCCUACGGGAGGCAGCAGUGGGGAAUAUUGGACAAUGGGGGAAAGCCUGAUGCAGCCAUGCCGCGUGUGUGAAGAAGGCCUUCGGGUUGUAAAGCACUUUAAGCGAGGAGGCGUUACUCGCAGAAGAAGCACCGGCUAACUCCGUGCCAGCAGCCGCGGUAAUAC